GAUGACCGCUGGCGUCGUGCCUAAUACAUGCACGUCGAGCGAACAGACGAGGAGCUUGCUCCUCUGACGUUAGCGGCGGACGUGUGAGUAACACGUGGAUACCCUACCUAUAAGACUGGGAUAACUUCGGGAAACCGGUGCUAAUACCGGAUAAUAUAUUGCACCGCAUGGUUCAAUAGUGAAGGACGGUUUUGCUGUCACUUAUAGAUGGAUCCGUGCCGCAUUAGCGAGUUGGUAAGGUAACGGCUUACCAAGGCAACGAUGGGUAGCCGACCUGAGAGGGUGAUCGGCCACACUGGAACUGAGACACGGUCCAGCCCCCUACGGGAGGCAGCAGUAGGGAAUCUGCCGCAAAGGGCGAAAGCCUGACGGAGCAACGCCGCGGGAGUGAUGAAGGUCUCCGGAUCGUAAAACCCUGUUAUUAGGGAAGAACAAAUGUGUAAGUAACUAUGCACGUCUUGACGGUACCUAAGCAGAAAGCCACGGCUAACUACGU
rnacentral:rRNA from 1 species